GCUUCACCCCGCGGCUCGGCUGAACCCGGCGGCGAGGCCACNNNNNNNNNNNNNNNNNNNNCAUGGCUCUGGCUAACAAAGAGAACAAUGAGGCUGCCCAGUUCCCCGCUUCCCCCCUGGAAAAAAAAAAACCCGACCCCCAACCCGCAGCCCCCCCGGGCACGGAGGGCUGGGAGCCGCCGGGCAAGGGCAGGGCUGGGGUGCCAGACCCCACAAGGGCAAAACAGCCCGGAGGUCACGCUCCCUGCCAGGGGAUUCCUGCCGGGAUCCCUGCGGGCAGCAGCUCCCUUCCUUUUCCUUUUUUUCCCCUUAAAUCCUCCGCCCUGGGUCUUUUCUUUUUGAUUUUUCCAGGUGAAAGUUUGGUUUAUUUGGUACGUCCUGAAGACAAAGCCCACUCCAGGCACACCCACCCGACGGGGGUUGGGGCGUCCCUUUGUGACAGAUCCCAGGAAACUUUAACUCUUGCUUCUCCAUGGCCCCAAAACAAGCCACAUGGGCUGGCUCUGUGCUUCCAAGCUGGUGACUCUUCUAUGGACAGACACACAUUCUGAUACUUUGAAAAGGACACCUGAAACUUCUGUGGGAUCUUUCCAACAAGGUAACAGCCACCAGGAACUGUCUCCUUAAUUCUUUCCCCUCCUCUCACCUGACAACUAACUCAUCAUCUUCCAGAUGCUAGAAAGUUUAAUGAAAACAGUUAACAAGCUGCUUCUCUUCCUGCUUUGCCUCUUCUUCCUCUUCUCCUGCUUUCUCUCCAGAGGACUCAGCUGUGAACUCCCACCAGCUCUUUCCUUCUGUGCUGUUGCAGAGAAAGCUAAAUAACUUCUGCUUUCCCCCAAAAAGCUCAAUUUCAUGGAGAUGUGUCCAUAUCCAUCCCAAUUCCUCUGUUUACACAGACCCAACAGCAUCAGCACAGCCUUGGGAAUCCUCCCACUCCAGACCUGCCUUCUCCAUGCCAUGAGCUGUUCAGAGAGAUGGCAGGCUCCAGUAUUAUUGCUGGAAUCCUUGAAAAUCCCAGCUUGGAAUGGACUCACAGGGAACCCUGGCCCUGCACAGCCACCCCAACAACCCCACCCGGAGCAGCCCUGAGAGCUCCUGCAGCUCUGGCAGCCUUGGGGCCAGGACCAUUCCCUGGGGAGCCUGGGCAGUGCCCAGCGCCCUCGUGGCUAAGAACCUUACCCUGAGCUCCAUGCCAAGCCCUGGCCCAGCUCCAUGCCAAUUUUGGCAAGAGGGUUUGCACCUAUUGAGAGAAGCUUCUCCUCCAGGGACAGACGCAGGAAAUCCAAGUCGGAGCUUGAGGCAUCCCCCCUCCUAUCCCUUCCCAAAAUAUUUAACAUAGUAAGUUGAAACAACUAAAACUUGUGGGGUCUCCAUAACUUGAGACAGAAGGGUACAGCCCCUCCUGUCUGAGCUCCUUUUGUUCCCAGAUAAUGGAGGAAACUCAGACAUGACCAACACUGGCUCUGGUAACUCCACCAGGCAGCCUUGAGCAAGCCAAGAGGACUUCACAGGGACCUGAAUGGCUCCUCAGGGAUGUCCUUGCUGCAGUUC
ensembl:lncRNA